UGUUUGCCAGCGGCUUUUCUGAUUUUUUUCUUUACUGCUUUUCUGAUCUUUAAACGCAAAGGUAAAGAAGCAAAUAUGAAAAGCUUGGGAAUUUAUUUUAAAGGUCCUACUAUAAAACCACACUAAGCGAUAUGUAUAAUAAUCACACCAAUUUUUCUUCCCCUACGAUAUAAUAAUCACAACCCGUUUUUAUAUACACAAUGUUGACUUUUUCCUACUGAAUAUGUCCUACUGAAUAUUGAGUGUUUUACUGAAUACUUUGAAGUAUGGCAGCCA